rnacentral:rRNA from 1 species
UAGGGAAUCUUCCGCAAUGGGCGAAAGCUUGACGGAGCAACGCCGCGUGAGUGAUGAAGGUCUUCGGAUCGUAAAACUCUGUUAUUAGGGAAGAACAAAUGUGUAAGUAACUAUGCACGUCUUGACGGUACCUAAUCAGAAAGCCACGGCUAACUACGUGCCAGCAGCCGCGGUAAUACGUAGGUGGCAAGCGUUAUCCGGAAUUAUUGGGCGUAAAGCGCGCGUAGGCGGUUUUUUAAGUCUGAUGUGAAAGCCCACGGCUAAACCGUGGAGGGUCAUUGGAAACUGGAAAACUUGAGUGCAGAAGAGGAAAGUGGAAUUCCAUGUGUAGCGGUGAAAUGCGCAGAGAUAUGGAGGAACACCAGUGGCGAAGGCGACUUUCUGGUCUGUAACUGACGCUGAUGUGCGAAAGCGUGGGGAUCAAACAGG